AAUUGUUUGGCUGACUGGAAAGCAGUUACCUUGAAAGUAAUUUAAAAGAGUUUAAUUCUCUUAACAAUUU
rnacentral:tRNA from 1 species